UACGGGGGGGGGCAAGCGUUGUUCGGAAUUACUUGGGCGUAAAGGGCUCGUAGGUGGCCAACUAAGUCAGACGUGAAAUCCCUCGGCUUAACCGGGGAACUGCGUCUGAUACUGGAUGGCUUGAAUCCGGGAGAGGGAUGCGGAAUUCCAGGUGUAGCGGUGAAAUGCGUAGAUAUCUGGAGGAACACCGGUGGCGAAGGCGGCAUCCUGGACCUGCAUUUGACGCUGAGGAGCGAAAGCCAGGGGAGCAAAACGGG
rnacentral:rRNA from 1 species